CUUUCCCAAGAUAUACAGCCCUAAAAUCCAUAUUCAAAUAUAAUUACACAAGUUUAAGAGACAAAUCAAUCCGAACACAUUAAGAUGUGGUUAAAAGUCUUUUUAUUGGUUACAAUAUCAGUGUAUGGCAGCAUUAUCACCAGGUUACUUUACAAAUACGAAAAAGUUGAGAAACGAAAUGUUAUUAAAUGAUUAUUUGAAAAUAUGGCACUGUGAAAGUACACAAGGUACCACACUCCUGGUUUUAUUGGCUCAAAGAAAGAAGAGGAAAAAAAAGAUUAUGAAGCUUACAAAUCGAGCCAAAAGUAUCUUAUGAAUACUUAAAACAUUGGGGUUCUAACAUGUACUGUAAUACUAAAAAUGUUCUUUUGUUGCCAAGUUUGAGUGGUUUGGAAAUAAUUGGGAAAAAAAACCUAAACGCAUUUGGAAAAGUCAUCCAUGGUUUUCAUUAAAGCUCUGGAAGACUACAUCAGCAUUUCAGCCACUCUUACGGCAGCUAUAUGUUAAAACUGCCGAUUUCAGCUGAUCCAGAACCAACCACUCAAAUCUUCAACAUGAUCAUAAUAAAACAACCACAAAAAGAAUCACUGAUUGGCAAUCUUGCAACCUCUACAGUACCGACAACAGAAAUCUGACUUAAAUCUAACCAAUACUUAUAAUACCAGCAUAAUUCCUGUUUAAAUUGAAUUCAAAGUGACUUCUAAAUGAGACAUUAUUACCAAAGACAUCCCUUUUCACAGUUAAUCAUCAUAAAAUUCAGCAAAAAACAUCUAUGCAGCAGUG